rnacentral:rRNA from 1 species
GACGCAACGCGAAGAACCUUACCUAGGCUCGAACGGCUUCUCAACGGCAGUAGAAAUAUUGCUAUCCCGCAAGGGAGUGGAGUCGAGGUGCUGCAUGGCUGUCGUCAGCUCGUGUCGUGAGAUGUUGGGUUAAGUCCCGCAACGAGCGCAACCCUUGCCCUGUGUUGCCAAUAUUAAGUUAGGAACUCUCAGGGGACCGCCAGCGAUAAGUUGGAGGAAGGUGGGGACGACGUCAAGUCAUCAUGGCCUUUAUGUCUAGGGCUACACACGUGCUACAAUGGUCGGUACAAAGCGCUGCCAACCCGCGAGGGGGAGCUAAUCGCAAAAAACCGUCCUCAGUUCGGAUUGCAGGCUGCAACUCGCCUGCAUGAAGCUGGAAUCGCUAGUAAUGGCGGAUCAGAAUGCCGCCGUGAAUACGUUCCCGGGCCUUGUACACACCGCCCGUCACACCACGAAAGUGGGUUGUACUAGAAGUCUGCGCGCCAACCGUAAGGAGGCAGCGGCCCAAGGUAUGACUCAUGAUUGGGGUGAAGUCGUAACAAGGUAACCGU